rnacentral:rRNA from 1 species
AGAGUUUGAUCCUGGCUCAGGAUGAACGCUGGCGGCGUGCUUAACACAUGCAAGUCGAACGCACCUUCGGGUGAGUGGCGGACGGGUGAGUAACGCGUGGGAAUCUGCCCUUAGGAGGGGGAUAACGGCUGGAAACGGCCGCUAAUACCCCAUAUGCCGAGAGGUGAAACGAAUUUCGCCUGAGGGUGAGCCCGCGUCUGAUUAGCUAGUUGGUGGGGUAAGAGCCCACCAAGGCGACGAUCAGUAGCUGGUCUGAGAGGAUGAUCAGCCACACUGGGACUGAGACACGGCCCAGACUCCUACGGGAGGCAGCAGUGGGGAAUUUUCCGCAAUGGGCGAAAGCCUGACGGAGCAACGCCGCGUGAGGGAUGAAGGCCUCUGGGCUGUAAACCUCUUUUCUCAAGGAAGAAGACAUGACGGUACUUGAGGAAUAAGCCACGGCUAAUUCCGUGCCAGCAGCCGCGGUAAUACGGGAGUGGCAAGCGUUAUCCGGAAUUAUUGGGCGUAAAGCGUCCGCAGGCGGCUCUGUAAGUCUGUUGUUAAAGCGUGGAGCUCAACUCCAUUUCAGCAAUGGAAACUACAGGGCUUGAGUGUGGUAGGGGCAGAGGGAAUUCCCGGUGUAGCGGUGAAAUGCGUAGAUAUCGGGAAGAACACCAGUGGCGAAGGCGCUCUGCUGGGCCAUAACUGACGCUCAUGGACGAAAGCCAGGGGAGCGAAAGGGAUUAGAUACCCCUGUAGUCCUGGCCGUAAACGAUGAACACUAGGUGUCGGGGGAAUCGACCCCCUCGGUGUCGUAGCCAACGCGUUAAGUGUUCCGCCUGGGGAGUACGCACGCAAGUGUGAAACUCAAAGGAAUUGACGGGGGCCCGCACAAGCGGUGGAGUAUGUGGUUUAAUUCGAUGCAACGCGAAGAACCUUACCAGGGUUUGACAUCCUGCGAAUCCCUUGGAAACUUGGGAGUGCCUUCGGGAGCGCAGAGACAGGUGGUGCAUGGCUGUCGUCAGCUCGUGUCGUGAGAUGUUGGGUUAAGUCCCGCAACGAGCGCAACCCACGUCUUUAGUUGCCAGCAUUCAGUUGGGCACUCUAGAGAGACCGCCGGUGAUAAACCGGAGGAAGGUGUGGAUGACGUCAAGUCAUCAUGCCCCUUACAUCCUGGGCUACACACGUACUACAAUGCUACGGACAGAGGGCAGCAAGCUCGCGAGAGUUAGCAAAUCCCAUAAACCGUGGCUCAGUUCAGAUCGUAGGCUGCAACUCGCCUACGUGAAGGAGGAAUCGCUAGUAUCGCAGGUCAGCAUACUGCGGUGAAUACGUUCCCGGGCCUUGUACACACCGCCCGUCACACCAUGGAAGUUAGCCAUGCCCGAAGUCG